ensembl:lncRNA
GUAACAGAAUCCUCAAGUGAGUGAAAAUCCUUCCCACCAGUAUUUGCGCUUUCACUGUCUCCUCAUCUUUCUUGUAGUAUCUGGACAGAUCCAUGAGUCCACCGAUUGUCAGCCUGAUCCAGCCUUCUCAAGUUCCCUGCCAGUGUUUCUCCUGAUGGUUUUAGCAGUCACUGAUGCUAGCCUAGACCCAUUCUUUUAUUAAGUUUUGCAAAAUUGUGAUACUAUAAUUCUGUUAAUCCUUCUGCAUUUAUUAGCUUCAAAUUCUUGUGUAAAGAAAAACUAUUUGUUUGCCCAGAG